rnacentral:rRNA from 1 species
UACGAAGGGGGCUAGCGUUGCUCGGAAUGACUGGGCGUAAAGGGCGCGUAGGCGGCUCUAUUUGUCAGGCGUGAAAUUCCUGGGCUCAACCUGGGAACAGCGCUUGAGACUGGCACGCUCGAGUUCGGGAGAGGAUGGUGGAAUUCCCAGUGUAGAGGUGAAAUUCGUAGAUAUUGGGAAGAACACCGAUGGCGAAGGCAGCCAUCUGGACCGACACUGACGCUGAGGCGCGAAAGCGUGGGGAGCAAACAGG